rnacentral:rRNA from 1 species
CCUACGGGUGGCAGCAGUGAGGAAUAUUGGUCAAUGGACGAGAGUCUGAACCAGCCAAGCAGCGUGAAGGAUGACUGCCCUAUGGGUUGUAAACUCUUUUUAUAUGGGAAUAAAAUGUUCCACGUGUGGGAUUUUGUAUGUACCAUAUGAAUAAGGAUCGGCUAAACCCGGGCCAGCAGCCGCGGUAAUACGGAGGAUCCGAGCGUUACCCGGAUCUAUUGGGUUUAAAGGGAGCGUAGGUGGAUUGUUAAGUCAGUUGUGAAAGUUUGCGGCUCAACCGUAAAAUUGCAGUUGAAACUGGCAGUCUUGAGUACAGGAGAGGUGAGCGGAAUUCGUGGUGUAGCGGUGAAAUGCGUAGAUAUCACGAGGAACUCCGAUUGCGAAGGCAGCUCACUGGACUGCAACUGACGCUGAGGCUCGAAAGUGUGGGUAUCAAACAGGAUUAGAUACCCUAGUAGUC